UUGUAGAUGAACAAUAAAAGACACUACUCCAAUGGGUAUUAUUUUGAAGUUGACGUUUUUAUUAGUUUUAUUCGUCAUUUCAUCAGAAUCAGAAGCAAGAGAAGGAGUUGUUGUGAAUACUGGUUGUACAAAAACAUGCUAUCCCAAUGGUUCAUGUUGGGCCAGCUACUGUGUGUGUCACAAAGAGCAUGUUGGUCCAUCUAAAGCUUGCUGUGACACAUGUGUGGGAUCCUUGUGUUUAUGUCCACCAGAGAACCAAUGUAAUGUUUUGUGUCCAGAUGCUUUCACUAAUAGGAAACAUAUUAGUCCAAGAAAAUCACCAAAUAUUGUAAGCUGAGAACUUGGGAUGUAUGGAUAAUAAAGUUUUUAUGAUUAAUAAGAAAUGUCUGUUCAUAUA